rnacentral:rRNA from 1 species
UGACGUCAAGUCCUCAUGGCCUUUAUGACCAGGGCGUACACACGUACUACAAUGGCCGGUACAAAGGGCAGCGACACAGCGAUGUGAAGCGAAUCCCGAAAAGCCGGUCUCAGUCCGGAUUGGAGUCUGCAACUCGACUCCAUGAAGGUUGGAAUCGCUAGUAAUCGCGGAUCAGCACGCCGCGGUGAAUAACGUUCCCGGGCCCGUU